rnacentral:rRNA from 1 species
AGUGACGUCAAGUCAUCAUGGCCCUUAUGUCCUGGGCUACACACGUGCUACAAUGGCCGGUACAGAGCGCAGCGAGGCCGCGAGGCGGAGCGAAUCGCUUAAAGCCGGUCCCAGUACGGAUUGGAGUCUGCAAACCCGACUCCAUGAAGUUGGAAUCGCUAGUAAUCGCGCAUCAGCAUGGCGCGGUGAAUACGUUCCCGGGCCUU